rnacentral:rRNA from 1 species
AUUCCGCAAUGGACGGAAGUCUGACGGAGCGACGCCGAGUGGAUGACGAAGGCCGAAAGGGUGUAAAGUUCUUUUGCUGGGGAAGACUAACCGCAGGAGGGAAUGCCUGUGGGAUGACAAGAACCGGCGAAUAAGCCCCGGCCAACUACGUGCCAGCAGCCGCGGUAACACGUAGGGGGCGAGCGGUGUUCGGAAGUACUGGGCGUAAAGGGCAUGUAGGCGGCUUGGAAAGCCUGGCGUGAAAGUCUGCAGCUUAACUGCAGGGGUGCGCUGGGAACUGCUGAGCUUGAGUGAAGGAGAGGGAGCUGGAAUUCCUGGUGUAGGGGUGAAAUCUGUAGAUAUCAGGAAGAACACCGAUGGCGAAGGCAAGCUCCUGGCCGAUGACUGACGCUGGGGUGCGAAAGUG